rnacentral:rRNA from 1 species
GUGCCAGCCGCCGCGGUAAUACAGAGGGUGCGAGCGUUGUCCGGAAUCACUGGGCGUAAAGGGCGCGUAGGCGGUUUUGUAAGUCGGGGGUGAAAUGCUGCGGCUCAACCGCAGCGCUGCCUUCGAGACUGCAAGACUGGAGCACGGUAGAGGCGGAUGGAAUUCCCGGUGUAGCGGUGGAAUGCGUAGAGAUCGGGAAGAACACCAAUGGCGAAGGCAGUCCGCUGGGCCGUUGCUGACGCUGAGGCGCGACAGCGUGGGGAGCAAACAGGAUUAGAAACCCGCGUAGUCC